rnacentral:rRNA from 1 species
UACGAAGGGGGCUAGCGUUGCUCGGAAUCACUGGGCGUAAAGGGUGCGUAGGCGGGUCUUUAAGUCGGUGGUGAAAUCCUGGAGCUCAACUCCAGAACUGCCUUCGAUACUGAGAGUCUCGAGUCCGAGAGAGGUGAGUGGAACUGCGAGUGUAGAGGUGAAAUUCGUAGAUAUUCGCAAGAACACCAGUGGCGAAGGCGGCUCACUGGCUCGGUACUGACGCUGAGGUGCGAAAGCGUGGGGAGCAAACAGG